GUCCGGUCCCUGAACAACUGGCCAUUCUCCUUAAGAAUCAAGAAGAAACCCAACGAGAGAUGACCAAUGUGACUGUUUUCUGGCACAGGAGGAAGCUUCAGACACCUCUUCACUGGUGUGGGCUGCUUAGGUUGGGUCAGUCUGAGGAAGUUCUGCUUUUCCCCUCCUCGGAAGGAUCUGGUUUUCCUGGGUGAGACUCAGAAAGGACGUUCUUGAGAAGACCAAGCUAUGGAGACGGAGAACAGCUCAGUGUUGUCAGAGGUUAGGAGAAGAGCUUACGUUCUGGUAGAGAGAAGCCGGCAAUGAACCCAAGAUACAGAGGACAAUCUCAGAGAGUCAACGAUGCCGUGAGGAGGAGAAAAUGAGGCUGCGAUGGACUACGUGAUGUGCCCAAGGUCACACAUAAGUAGGGGACAAAGCCAGGACCCAAAUACCAUACUUCUGUGCACCAAAGCCCACCUUCCUGACUCUGGGCUACGUAGACUGUCUCACAGCUCGUGUUUCAUCCCAGCCGAAUGAGGGUUAGACCUUACCUCUGUGUUGCACUUUAUACUCUUCCAAGCUAUUUCCAGCACGUCAGCUCGUUUCACCUUGGGGCAUUAUCGUUUCCAGCUUCUCCUCUGAGGCCUGCCAUGAAUGCAAAGGAAAAUGGCAGGAACGGAUCCUCUUGAGCAACGGAGCCAAUUAGGCUUCCUACGGAGGUAGGAACACUUACAUUCCCAUGACGUGAAGGACCAAGAAACACCUUGAGUCGGCCGUGUCUAGAGCAACAUCUCCUGGGCCAGAAUUUAAAUGGGAAAAGACCUUUCCUUUCUCCUGCAACUCUUAUGCAGUCUCCUCAGUGUUGCAAGAAUGUACAGUGGGCAGCUCCUGUGUUCUUAGGUACUGUGGGAAUGGAAGGGGAUGACCACCGUGCUCUAUUCUUCUGGAGAAGACACUUACCACUCAGCAGAGCAGCACUUAUUCCUUCAGGUGCUCAGUCUUAGCAGCAAGGUUAGCACUUGACUAUUUGCAAAGUACAAUGACAUCCUUGAUCUUGUUUGAUGCUCAUGUGAACCUUCUUGGGUAGGUCCUAAUGUUCCUCUUAAUUACAAAUGGGGAAACUGACGUCCAGAGGAGGCAACUGACUCAGUGUGUUUCUGUGGGGUUUGCAGGUGAGCUGGGCAUUGAGAUUUCUGACACCAAGUGUCCCCCUCGCCCCAUCAUGAAAGGACACUUGCUUUUGUGAUGGCUUUGGAAGGAACUCUUCCAAAAACGCAUUUGCUUCUCUGCCCUUUGAAGCAGAGGACCCCAUGAGGGAGUGAUGGUGUGUGGUACAACAUUUUCUUGAUGUGUAAAGGUACCUUUGUGGACACACAUGUUCUGUUCUGCCCAGAAAUGUAUCUUUCUGUUUGUUAGUUAGUUUGUCUGUUUUGUUUUUAGAGGGGGAGCAGGGGCAGAAGGAAAGGAAGAGAGAGAAUCCUAAGCAGGCACGGAGCCCAAUGGGCUCUAUCUCACGACCAUGAGAUCA